GCAAUGCACGAAAGUGUGACGGGGCUACCCCGAGUGCCGUCCGCUGAGGAUGGCUUUUCCUCGGUGUAACUAGCCGGGGGAAUAAGGAGAGGGCAAGACUGGUGUCAGCCGCCGCGGUAAUACCAGCUCUCCGAGUGGUAGGGAUGAUUAUUGGGCUUAAAGCGUCCGUAGCCGGCUUAGCAAGUCUCCUGUUAAAUUCAGCGACCUAAUCGUUGAGCCGCGGGAGAUACUACUAGGCUAGGAGGCGGGAGAGGCCGACGGUACUUCCGGGGUAGGGGUGAAAUCCUAUAAUCCCGGGCGGACCACCAGUGGCGAAGGCUGUCGGCUAGAACGCGCUCGACGGUGAGGGACGAAAGCUGGGGGAGCGAACCGGAUUAGAUACCCGGGUAGUCCCAGCUGUAAACGAUGCGGGCUAGGUGUUGGGGUGGCUACGUGCCACUUCAGUGCCGCAGGGAAGCCAUUAAGCCCGCCGCCUGGGGAGUACGGCCGCAAGGCUGAAACUUAA
rnacentral:rRNA from 1 species